GUCACGUGCGCCGAAUACAACAGGUGUAGGCCUUACAGUGAAAUGCUUACUUACAGGCUCUAACCAAUAGUGCAAAAAAGGUAUUAGGUGAACAAUAGAGCAGGCAACAGAUGGCACACAGACAGCAGAGUUGGGGACAGAUAUGCAGGGACAGACUGGCAGAGACAGGGAGUCUCAGUCUGCAGAUGCAGAGGCUGCAGGUCCUGGAGGAUCGUCUCUGGUCAAGUAGGAGAGGACUGAAUGGACAACAGUAGUGUCGAAAAGGAAAAUUGUCUAAAAUUGAAGUGGAGGAUACGUGUAUGUCGGUUAAUUAAUAGUUUAUUUUCUUGGGAUGCAUUUGUUGAGUAAGGAUGCAUAUGUGGGAGACCUGUUUGAGGUGUCAAAUUGUGAAGUAUGCGCUGGGAAAAGUGGAGUCUCAGAGUGACCAGGAGCAGUCUUAUUUUGAUUGAUUGUAUUUCUGAAGAAAAGAAGAAGAUUGCAGUGGGCCUCAAAAGAAUAUACGGACAAGAGAAGUAUUGUACUUUGAACUCUCAGAGGUGAUGACGAAUGUUCAGGUUGAAUAUCUGAAGAGAAUUCCUGGUUUGGUUGGUGCCCGGCAUUUGACCCACUGGGUGAAUGUAGAAAAAGAAGAAAGUCUGUCGGUCCUGUUGUUUUUUGUUAAAGAGAACCUACCUACACAUGUCAAGCUUGGUUAUGUAAGAUACGCUGUAAGAGAUUUUGUCCCCAAAUCAUUGCAGUGAAAAAAAAUGAAAGGAUUUGGCCAUGUUUCAAGUGUGUGCAGACGGACGGAGUAUACUGAAGAAUUGCGUGUAGAAAGACGACAGUGUUGCAAUUGUGGUUGGGAUCCGAAUCCCCAGUUCCUGCAGUGCCCUGUAAGGGUGAAGGAGAUUGAGGUGGCAAAAGUUAGAGCGAUCAACAGAAUUUCCUAUGCGGAGGUGAUUUAUUAAAAGAGUUGAGCAAACAAGUGACGCUAGUGAAGAUAUGGUAGUGAAUUGAUUGAAUCAGAUGACUCAUUCAUUGCAAAACCCAUUGAUAUAUUGCCAACUACUUUAAUCUUUUUUUAAUUGGC
rnacentral:lncRNA from 1 species